rnacentral:rRNA from 1 species
AACGAACGCUGGCGGCGUGCCUAACACAUGCAAGUCGAACGGAAGUAAGAAGCUUGCUUUUUACUUUAGUGGCGCACGGGUGAGUAACGCGUGGAUAAUCUGCCUGAUGCUCUGGGAUAACACUUCGAAAGGGGUGCUAAUACCGGAUAAGCCCACGGGCUCUUAGGAGUUUGCGGGAAAAGGGGGGGACCUUCGGGCCUCCUGACAUCAGAUGAGUCCGCGUACCAUUAGCUAGUUGGCGGGGUAAAGGCCCACCAAGGCUAUGAUGGUUAGCUGGUUUGAGAGAAUGAUCAGCCACACUGGAACUGAGACACGGUCCAGACUCCUACGGGAGGCAGCAGUGGGGAAUUUUGCGCAAUGGGCGAAAGCCUGACGCAGCAACGCCGCGUGAGUGAUGAAGGCCUUCGGGUCGUAAAGCUCUGUCAAGAGGGAAGAAAUGUAUUGCGGUUAAUACCCGUGAUGCUUGACGGUACCUCUGGAGGAAGCACCGGCUAACUCCGUGCCAGCAGCCGCGGUAAUACGGAGGGUGCAAGCGUUGUUCGGAAUUAUUGGGCGUAAAGCGCGUGUAGGCGGUUUUUUAAGUCUGAUGUGAAAGCCCUGGGCUCAACCUGGGAAGUGCAUUGGAUACUGGAAGACUUGAGUACGGGAGAGGGUAGUGGAAUUCCGAGUGUAGGAGUGAAAUCCGUA